UACAGAGGUCUCAAGCGUUUGUUCGGAUUCAUUGGGCGUAAAGGGUGCGUAGGCGGCGCGGUAAGUCGGGUGUGAAAUCUCGGAGCUUAACUCCGAAACUGCAUUCGAUACUGCCGUGCUUGAGGACUGGAGAGGAGACUGGAAUUUACGGUGUAGCGGUGAAAUGCGUAGAUAUCGUAAGGAAGACCAGUGGCGAAGGCGGGUCUCUGGACAGUUCCUGACGCUGAGGAGCGAAAGCGUGGGUAGCGAACAGG
rnacentral:rRNA from 1 species